UAUGCGGCGUCAGGUGUUGCAUGUAUGUGAUCAGUCAUUAUUUUGUGAAAUAAUUAAUAGCAUAUGACAGAAAUUAGGGAAUUGAUCAGCACACGCAGUGUAAAAUGCCAAUAAUUAAUAAUGGAAUAAUGAAGCAGAACCUUAGAUACAAGAAGGAUGUUCAAAAGUCUCAAAAAAGGCGCAGCGUUUCCAAGAACUCUUGUACAAACGCUUGACUUGACGCUGGACUAACAACAAAUAUCAUCCCCUCUCCAAUUCUCAAGGUUAUUAGUUAAUGGCGGGAUGCAUAUGGAAGGAAUAGGAGUUCAAAUAUGGACGCCAUGAUGAUCAACAGUCAAUUUGAUCGUUUUUUUCGAAGAUUCGUUAAUAUUUCAUUUAUUGCGUCGAAAGCAAUCUGCGUUUUCUCAUUGGAUCAUUGUGAACACUCAUGACGACGUGUAGUGCAGUUGGUAGAAUCAGUACUUAUUAUUAUUUUAAUAUUCUUCAGAGUACAAUAGUUCUCGUUAAAUUUAAUUAUAAUAAUUAUAUUUACGCGAAAUUAGAGGCAGUGUUUGUUCGCCGAUUGUUACCUAAGCGGGCAUUAGUCUAUUAUUUUUCUUUUUUCAUAUUUACGUAUAUAUUUUUUAAAUGUUCGUUUUCGGUAUUAAAGUCAGUGCUCAAGAGGAUAAAGCCUCUCCAAAGGCACAAGAAUAUGUUUCAUACCUGACGACUUCUGAGCUAUUGCAGCAUCUGUGACAACGUUCUUCACAUCUAAUCGUGACGUCCUUCCGACGACGUGGUCGCCGCCGAGAGGAUCCAGCCGGACAGGGAUUAAUCCAGCUCGAAUGUUUGCGCGGUGGAUCGAUGAUGACUUUGCCGAGAGUGUCCAUUAUUAUCGAUCGCCGGAAUCGAGAUGUGUGUCACUCAUUCAGGCCAGAUUGAAGGUUUCGCAGACGAACACAUUGCCUGGUAGUUUUCAGCUUUUCGAAUAUAUAUCUACUUACCGCGUCGUGCAUGAAAGGAUUUUGAACGAUUAACUGACGAGGGAAGGUAGGUAGGUUUGAGGUCGUGAAUUUCGAAGGAAGAGGAAAAAUAAUCGUUCAGCUUUUGGUCAUCAAAUUCUUGCUUCUGCCAGGCUCUUGCUCAUCGUAUCGCCGAAGAGAGCGAUCACAACCCUCGCGUCGGAAGAGGAAAAAAAUAAAGAAAGAAGAAGAAAGUAAAAGAAGGAGUAUUAGCCCCUUACUCCCGGUAAAUAGCGUGACCCACGCGACAGGGGGGGGGGGGCACGUUAAAGAACCGCCGUGUCCCGUGACCACGAAAAUUCUGCCGUGCUCCGAGAACGCUUGAAAACCCGUGCAAAGCCGGCAAUAUAAAUUACCCAUAUCGCGUCCCCGUAUUCCAGUCGCCACUAAACUGCCAGUCCCCAACUAUUUCCCCUGGUUUCCCGGCGCGCAUCACCCGUCACCAGGGGUUGCGUUCGUUCGACCCUCGCCGUCACCAGCCGGCUUACUACGGUGGGCGGUGCCCAUGCCCAGCACCGCGAAAACAAACGAAUUUUUAAUUGAUCACCUGCUAAUGAGUCGGCUGUCGAGAAGUAGCAAGAGCGAAAGAGGAAGGGGUGAGAGAAAGAAAGAGAGAAGGAGACCUGUGUACAGGAACGUGGCUCGAAGUGGAAAAGGGAGAAAAAGAGAGGAGGGGAGAGAGAGAGGAAGAGAAGGGCAGAGGUUAGGUCUAGGGUCGAGGGUGGAACACGAGAAAAGAAAAGGAAAAAGCAGCGUGGCAGACGGUUGAAACUUCAUCAUCGACCGUUUCGAGUCUUCGACGAACGAUGGCUGGAGGAGAGGAGAAGCUGGUAACACGGGGGCGGUCCGAGAGGGUGGGUUCAGACGCGUUAACCCUUCCGCGUCGCUUCGUAUCCAAGUUGCAGAAUUCUUAGUUUCUUCGAGGAGGUGGGAGGGGAAGUUAACGGUAAGUGUGUUAACUUGAGUUGCUUGCGGCGAGUACGGAGUCUGUCACGUAUCUAAGCGCGACGGAAUUUUGGUUUGUUGAUGACUAGAUGGAAAGUUUUCGCGUGUCUUUACGGGAAUGAGAAUGGAAGAGAUGGAAUUUGAAACGGAUUCUGUUAUAGUAAAGAAGAAGGAAAUUUUUCAAACACCAAACAUUGUAUUCUGCGCAGUCUUCUCUUUAACUGACAAUGACCGUGUCCAGAAUCUGAUGUUGUGUAGAAAGCAUAUACGUAAUAAUUUUAUUUCAUUUUACUAGGUCGUAAAUGGUCGAAAAAAUGGCAGCGCUGUACCACUCCCGGCAACUGAAUGAUACUUUCAAAAUACUCGGACAAGCCUCAUUUCUCUCGCAGCCUCGAUCGUGCAUAUUUCUAACAUUCUAAUCACCCGUCGAACGCCAAAAAAAAAAAUCACUGUGCUGGAAUUCCUUUGACCGACUCCACCUUCCUCUUCCAACAGCUAACAAAACAGCGGCACGCUUUAAACUCGAGUUCUUCCACGUAUAAUCCACCUCACCCGGUAUAUUGUAAUGUAACGCGAAACAAAAAGAGAGAGAGAGAUAGAGAGAGAGAGAGAGAACGGAGGCUGGAUGGAAGGAAGAACGGUUUCCUCCUCUAACGAAACUUUUUUCCCCGGUGCAGAUUUACACGGGCAUGCGUUAACGAGCGGCACACCGGUGUAAUAAUUAGUGCCACUAUAUACCGUGACUCGCAAACGGCCGGGUUCACGCGCACACGCACCCACAUGUACACACACACAUAUAUAUAUAUAUAUAUAUACACGCGCGCGCGCGCUUACACAUAUAUACACACAUAGAUAGACGGUGGUAUGGAAUUUCCAGGCCGAUUAUCAGCGUCCUGUCGGGAACGGGCCACCGAGGAUCGUGGCUCCGCUCGAAUAUCGAUUCCUCGAGCUUAUCGGCCCGCUUGCAUACCCUUCAGCCUGCUAGCCCCACGUCGCGCGCCACUUUUUUUCCUCCCCUUCACCCCCCGCUGUCCCGGCCGGCUCGGUUUUUGCCCUUCGACGAUGCUUCCGCGAGGUUUUCGAAGGUCCUCUCUCCGGGGAGAGCUAAAAUAACGCGAGUUCGUCAGGGACGGACUGUUGGUUUUCGUUGGUCCCUCCCAUACUAUCGCUCGUUUCUCUGUUUUCUUCGUUUUUUCUCAGAGUUGUUCGGCCUUCUCUCUUGUUCUUUCUCUUCCUCUCCCGGUCGCUGGUUUUCUUUUCCUCGUUCGUUGCUCCGGGGGGGUUUAGAUAUUUAUACGCGGAGGCAACUGAAGGAAAAACAAGAGGCACCGGCGGUGAAAUACGACGCGACGCGACGUCAGGACGCGAGCAGCAACUUUCGAAAUGCCUCCUUCGAAAGGCGUAAUUGGGGAGUAAUGGCGGCAAACGAAGCGCCGGGGAGGAAGAAGAAAGUGUCCUCUUGUUUGUGAGCUUGCUCGAAAGUGAUGAUUAACCCUCUGAGCUACGAACGCCUGUGUUUGGCUUAGGCACACAUAUAGUAGUUAAAAACUGGCACUGCAACGAUUAAUCUGAACAUUUGUAUUCGUUCUGCAUUCUUGUGUAUUUAAAAUACACGUGUAUAAAUGUUGGCAAUCCAAUUGUCACAUACGCGUACGUACGUGUAUAAGUAUACUGUUGUUCAAAAAUUUUGAACACUCUUCGUUUCUAAUAACCAGCAUUUCGUCGCUGAUGAUAAAAUUUUUAAAUCGUGUGUGAUUGUAUUACUUUCAUUAUAAUUUUAUUGCAAGUAAUGUACAUCUAUUACGAUUGUGGUAUAUUAAUUGUACAUACUUAUAUUCAAUUUCAUUAACGUGUUAUUAGUAUAUUAAUAUUUAUAUAGAUCAAUAUAUUCGUAUAUCAUUGAAUUUUUCAAAUUUUGAAACAAGCGUAACGCGUGUAUUAAAAUACCUCAUAUUUUUGACUCAGACAGCUAUGAUUUUCAAUUAUAGUGAAUUGCAGAGGUAUUCGUACCAUCUGUCUACAAUUGAAAACUUUGAACGCAAUACAAAUUCCAAAAUUCGUAUCAACGAGAAUUAAGAUCAAUCCUCCGAGUAUUUAGAUGAUCUUACAAUCAAUAAUAAAAUAAUUGGUUUGCUUAUCAAGCUCCAAAAAAAAUUGAAAACGAAUGUAUUCUUAAUUUGUCAUAUGCUUCUCAUUAUUAUAAUUUGUCAUAUGCUUCUCAUUAUUAUAAUUUUAAGCAUUCGAAAAUUUCAAAAUUUUUACUCAUUCGAUCAUCGACAAUUA